GGAAACUGAAGGAGCUAAACAGACUGAGUUCAUUAUAACAGUGACUGCACUUCUGACUCCAGCCUGUCAGUGUGCUGUUUGGUUCCUCAUGAUGACAGGUGAUUAAAUGAACACGACAGAGAGAGAGACCCUGUUUACGCCCAGUUUCAAAGUCAGACUACCAGCUUGACUGAUAUAUUUCUCUGCUGUGUCUCAGUUUUGACUUUUCCUUCGCUCGUGUCUCUUCCACAUGUGACUCAUGUCUCAUCUGUUGAACGGGAAUGACUGUAUUGGCUCAAAAGAUGAACAGAUGAGUGCUGUCAGCUCGCUCUCCAUGUGAAGGUCAAGCUGCAGCAGGUGUGACAGCCAGAAUAUUUGUUGAUACUCAGAUCCAUCUUUGGAAAGGUCAUCAUUUGCUCCAUCCCUUUCUCACUGCGCUGUCAGUAUGUUUUCUCUAUCUUUUUUUCCCACUCCUUGUCUGUCACAUCUCCACUGUCCUCCUCCUCCUCCUCCUCCUCCCUGUUGUCUGUUUACUUCUCUGGCUCUUGUUGUUUUCCUGUCAUUGGUUGGCAGUUGCUAGAAACGCACUCACUGCAGCAUUAUCAGCAUUCAGUGGCCACCAACCUGAUUGCGCAUCCACGGGUGGCUAUGCUACAGCUGUCUCUGGACAGCAGCAGGUACUCAGCCCAGCAUGCCAACCGAGAUGAGCACCCACUUUCCAACUGGCCGCUGCUGGCCCUCUGCCUAUAUGUCACCCACUCACUCACACACACACACACACACACACAUGCGCAAACACGCAGAAGCCACUUCACUAGCCAACACUCAUCCUCCCUUGUCAGCUUUACCAUCCGUGCAGGAGAGGAAACUGUCACUGUCUUUUAUUUUGCUCCGACAACAUUCAUAAACACCUGGCCAACACUUCUGUUCAGUGUGAAAAAAAAAUGUGCAUAUAAAGUAUUCAAGUCCAAGCUGGUUGUAAAGGAAUGUUUUGUGUAGCAGGGAACAAGCCAGCGAGUUAGAUUUUGCAGCUCAAAGCAAUUUUCUGCUCCUUGAAGCACUUUUUUUUUUUUUUUCUGUCAAUAUGUUCUCAGUUUCUUCUUCCACCAAAACCGAGCGCUGCACCUGAAACCAUUUAACUUUGUUAUGCUUCUACUGUCCUGGUAUUAAUAAUAAAGCUUAAAGCAAUUACAGGUCAACAUUAAACCCCACAGAGAAGGGGAGAACAACAAUCAUUGGAGAAAUAGAGAGAGUGGGGAAGGAAAGUGUUGGAAAAAGAGGCAGUGAGGGAAACAUAUUUACUGACAUCCAUGGGCUGUCACCACUCUGAUUAAUGGAGGUUGGAUUCCCUGCCUGGUGAAAAGGUGUUGUUGGGGUGUAGAGAAAGCCCAGGCGCUGACCUAGAACUAAUAGCAUUCGACUUGAACAAGCUGUCCAACCUGAGAGAGUGCGCUCAUGGUGCUGCUGGUGCAGCUGGAGAGGAGAGGAAAUAAGAAAAGUUAGAAACAGGAAAGAAGGUUCAUGCGCAACCUUCAAACUUUGGCCCGAAGCUGCCAUGUGUCUUAAGUCACUUUGUUCAUUUACUCACUAUUAACUACUUUCUACGCCCUUUAAAAGUGUAAGACACUCUCCGGUAUAAGACACUUGACACUGGAAUCAACCAUUUUCCACCACUGACAGGAGCUGUGUUGGUUUGUCCUCAGAGGAAAAUUAAUAACUGUUCAUGUGUCAUGCUAAUACAUCCAAAUCAUAUAUUUGAUCAACAGCAGGUCUAUUAAAAGUUAAUGUAUCCUGUUAAUGGGAUUAAAGGGAUAUUCAGGCUUAAAAUUAAUUUAGGGUCAAACACACCAUAACACUGAGUUAGACACCCCCUCGAGAGAUGAAUAUCGCUGACUGCAUGCUUCUCUAGUUAUACCAACGACCACACGAUAGCAAAACACAGUGAUCUGAGGAGCCAUAAACAAACCUCACCAAAAAGCCACUCUACAGCCACAAUUAAUGCUCAGAACUGCACCUAACUUCAUCAACAGUACAGAUAGGGUCCUAGCCAUAGUACUAGCCACCAAACAUCUUUUUAUCUUUACCUAAUUUCUUUAGCAAAGAGACUAAACACAACUCAUCCACUCCAUUCCAGCAGCCAUUGGUUUGUAGCAAGACCUCAGGCCAGUCCAUUACAGAUUGCUACAUAAUGGACUGGAAGCUCAAGGAAGAACAUUUAUGAUAAUUUCUUCAUGGAAAUGCAAUCAGACUGAGAUGCUAAGGCAGAAGAACUACCGCGUCUGCAGAGCAAAAUGUUUAAUAUGGUGAUUAUUACUUUAAGGAAAUGAUAAAGUAAUAAUCAUAAAUGUUCCUCCUUGAGCUGCGUCACCCCACAACAGUCUGCAAUGGACUGGCCUGAGGUCUCACUACAAACAAGUGGCUGCUGGAAGGGAGUGGAUGAGUUGUGUUUAGUCUCUUUGCUAAAGAAAUUAGGUAAAGAUAAAAAGAUGUUUGGUGGCUAUUACUAUGGCUGGGACCCUAUAUGUACUGUUGGUGAAGUUAGGUGCUGUUCUGAGCAUUAUUUGUGGCUGUAGAGUGGCUUUUUGGUUGAGGUUUUAGCUUUGCGCCUGUGUAUUGCUGUCGUGCGGUCGUUACUAGAGUUGGUACAACUAAAGAAGCAAGCUGUCUGCAACAUUCAUCUCUUGAGAGGGUGUCUUACUCGGUGUUACGGUGUGUUUGACCCUAAAUUAAUUUUACACAUAUACACAUAUAAAGAAUAUCCCUUUAAGUAAGAACUAAGUUUAUAAAUCUCACUUUUGACUGUAUUUCAUAAAAAUGUUCCAGUAGUCACCACAGGGUUACAAUUCCUGCCCUAUUUUCACCUUUAUGUGAGAAAGCUCAUGUUCACCUGCAUGCUGGUUUUGUCUCUUCAUGCGCCGUUCAACCAAAACUGCUAAAAAAAAAAACACAGCACAAUGACCAACACCUCCUCUUCCAGCCCCCCUCCCUGAAGAAACACACACAGAAAAAGCCUCGCUUCAAAUAAUCUGCAGCAUAUUUGCCAGGAACAUCAUUCUGUCGAGGUUGUUUUUGCUGAGGGCAACAGCAAGCCCAACAGCUGGGACAUAAUGAAGCUUUCAGGCAACUUGUUCUCCCAUCGUGUAGUGCCAGCCCCUGUCUGCUUCCACCAGAUGUUUCGUGUUUUCCCUCCAAAAUGCUCUGCUGCCAACAUGGGGACGGUGGCUAGCAAAGCAGGAACCAGCUAGCUCCUCAGUUGAUUCAUGAUUAUAGGGUGAUUGUCGGGUUAAUUGCUUGUUUCGUGUUUAUUGGUGAGGCCUUGUCACCUGUCACCUAUUGUGUAGCUGGGAAAAUCCGUUUGACAGUAACUAGAGCUGCUGUUAUCUGAGUCUCUGGUUUGUGAUCAGUUAGAGGUAGACAAACAUGAUAUUGUUCAUUAAUUUACAAAGAUCAGGGUAGCUGUCGUUGUCAGUAUUCUUGUUGUUUGAUUGCGCAAUGUGUCAUUAUUUGCACCGAUUCAGGAUGUCAGCUGGAACAAUUAACCCUCCACUAAACCACAGUCGUAAUGUGUGUGUGACUCAACACUGCUGAACCAGCCAAAAUCAUAAAGCCAGAAGUUUCUGCUUUCUCUUUGUAGAGCAGUAAUUGUUGAAGUAAACCAGUGCUGCUGAAUCAUAGCUACGAAUAAUCUGAAAACAACAGUUGAUGGUUAAAUUUCUCUAUAUGGCGUAUGUUGGCUGAAAGUAGCGGCACAAAUAUAAAGAGAAAAGUUUUUAAAAAAGGUGGUAUUUCAGGUUUGUUUCUGAAGCUGUCAUUGUUUAUUUAGGUCUAGUUAAACACAAGAUGGCUCAAAACUUGAUUUGUUUUCAGCAUUUGAAGCUGUGAGUGAUUUUUUCCUUUGUUUGCUUUUUGUUGUAAGACAGUACACAUUUUCAACAGUCACGUCUUAAAAUAGGCCAUCAAAAAGAGACUUUAGAAAAGACAGAAAAUGAAAAGGACUUUAUACUUGUCCAUAUUUUUUGUUUAUGAAUGAAAUAAACUUGUUAGCCGGCAGAUAACACCCUAAUAACGUUAGCUACCCAUAAUGAUGAGACACAGUAUCAAUCAAUCAAUCAAUCAAUCAAUCAAUCAAUCAAAUGUUAUUUAUAUAGCGCCAUUUCACAACAGUCGUCAUUCCAAGAUGCUUUCCAAAGAGAAAGAGCAGGUGUAGACCACGCUUGUUAUUUGAUGAAUUAUCAAGACCAUAAGAUGGGACAGAUUUAACCCAUGUCAUCUAAUAUGAGUUACAGUGGCAAGGAAAAACUUCCUUUGAACAGGCAGAAACCUUGGAAAGGACCAGACUCAUGUUAGACAGCCACCACAGUUCUGAGGCUUAGUCUAAAUCCAAAGUUGUUAAAUGUACAAUAAUAUAUUAUUAAAUUACAUUGAGUUAUAUUUCUAAUAUCACAUCAACAAAGCUGAGAUGAGACAAAUGAGACAAAAGAGAAGAAGCCAAACUACGAAUUGUGUUCUUCUUAAAGACUGGUUGUUCAACUUUUUGAGUCAGCAAACUAUUUCAGCAUAAAUUUUUGUAUCUUGACAUUGUUGUCAAUGAGGGAAACCUCAAUGAUCUUUGAGAAUUAAAUAAAGGUUAUAAAAAGCAACCAACAGUCAGAUCAACAGUUUUUAAGUCACAGCUGUAAUCUGAUUGUGGAUGCUGAUCAUUUAAUAAUUAGAGGUUACUGCGUGUUUGUGUGUGCAUGUCAGUGUGUGUGUGUGUGCGAGCAGAUUAAUGCAUAUUCACACCAUCUUAUCCACCCCUCACCACUGAAAUUAACUAAACGAACUAAUGCUAAAUGUUUCUGCAAAAUGAAUUUGAAUCAGAUCAUGCAUGCUUUGUAUAGAUUGUGUUAAACUGAGGAGGCACCCCGUCAAAUCUCUUUUUUUUUCUUAGAAAGGCAAUUGAAGAAAUCUCUAUGGGCUAUCUAGUCACUGAUCAAUGCACUUUUAGAUGUUCAACAUCUGGCAAUCUACUGGAAAUUGGCUUCUAUGGCAACAUUGCGUUGCCAUCAUCUUCCCGUCAUUAGCUUUCACCAUUGCCCCGGGGUUCAUAUUGUCGUUAGCCUACAUAGAGACGCAGUAAAGUGAUGCUACAUGACGUUUUUCAGCUCCUUUUAUUGGAGUAGCCUGCCAUGCAGCAUGCCUGCCCUAUUCCAUGGGCACCACAGGGAAAUAAGACAUGAUUAGAGCAGAGGCUUGGUGAUAAGAAAAUUUCUUGCGUCAAACAUCAUUUAAUUUGGGGAUUAGGCAAAUAAAAAGCCUCACACAAGCUCGCUGGGAAAGCUUUCGAGCAGUGGUGUAAUUUUACGUGCUUGUAGAAAAUUGGCGAUGAAGGAUUUGAUAUUGAGCCAGUUCGCCUGCACAAGCUGUGUUACAUUUCAGGUCUCCUCUGCAGCUGGACUUUUAACAGAUAAUCUGCCAACAUCUAUAUGUAGCACAAAGAGAUAUGCACGCAUCUAAAAUUGCACCAUUGCCGCACUAGGUUUAAUCGAAUGUGCAGUCAAAAUGAUUAGCCACAAUGACUGAAAUUAUGUAGUAGUAAUUACAAACAGAUGGUAGGCUUUAUUUGCACUUAAGGCGACUGUGUGCAUGGGAAAUGCAGUGUGAACAAGAAUAAUUAAGAAGUUAAAGUCCUGUUUUUUUCCAACUUGUGUUUAAAUAAUCAACUCUAUGAUGUAAAUUUGUUUUAAAUUAGCUGUAUAGUUAUAGGAAUGCUUUGCCCGGGGCAGCCAUCACCUUCAAGCCUUUAGGUUGUAAAGAGGCAGAUACUUUUUAAUUUAUUUAUUGAGACCUCAGUUUGUUUCUUUUCUGGAGGGAAGCAGCGUGUAAAGACUGCAGUGCCUCAUGCUGAGAUGUUUCACAAUACCCGAGGGCUCAUUGGGGAGACUGUAACUUGUCAAGUGAGUCGGACAGAGCUUUCUGCUUUAGUACCACUUUUCCCCUGGUAAACACAAAACCGUAGAUACUGUUUCAUUUGUUUCUUCUAAAAGGGGGGAACAUGCAAGCUGUAAAAGCGCAAUCAUUUCUCAAUUUGAGGCACGAGAAACUCUCAGGGUAAACAUGUGGGGUCAAAAUACUCAGGGUACGAGAUGAAUAUGAUUUUUAAAUGUUAUGUUUAGUUGUUUUUAUGCUCCUGAGGAAGGCUCAACUUUAAGAUUUGUACAGUUUAACUCUCAAUUAUUCACAACACAUAUUUUUAGACAUUGUCAAAUUUGUUCAAAAUCAUAGCAUGGCGAAUAUGAGGGUGACUUGCAACAUAUCUACUGUAUCGUUUGUGAAAUAGUAGAGAUAUAGAUAACAGAUCAGUCUGAUGCUGACUCUUAUGGUUGGAUUGUGUAUUGUUGUAAUCAGGCAGAUCUAUUCAGUUAAGUUGUGGUAUUACAACAAGAUUUCCCCAAGAGAAAAAGAAGAUAAUGUUGUCUCACAUAUAAAUGAACAAUCAUAUUUUAACAUAGGAAGCAUAGCUUACAAACCAAACACAGGUAUCGGACUGAAACGUUGUCCCAAAGCCGAGCUUAUGAAACAGUCUGAUAUAUUCAAGGGUCUUAUUCAUCAGAUUUAUCGCUUCAUUGGAAUAGUUAUAAAAACAUUUCAUUACUCUCAACUGGAGAAGAUCAGGGUUUUGAGAAAAUAUGGUCAUUCAAAUAUCUUCAACUCUUUGUUGAGUAGAGAGGCCCCCCUCAAGGCCUUGUCAGUCUAAAAGAAGCUGGUUUGUUUGUAGUUUACUCAGUGUACAACAGAGGUCACUAGAAUCCACUCUUGCAUGAAGUUGGCGAAUCGUCUCUGUUAGAGCUGCCGUGUCACACAGAGUGCUGUGGACUUGAGUUCCCACAAAAACGCUGUAGUUGUGGAAGUCUUUCUUUGAGCUAUUAUGAACAAACAGCUUGUAUCUUAUUUCCUCUCUUUCUGAUUCAGCAAACCUGCAAGCACAGGCGUGCUUUAUUUAUGCUGCUGGAUUUUAUGCAUGACAGUUUUGCUGAGGGGAAAAAGUUCCUCCACCCCGUCUUCCCCACGUUUCCCACAUCGAUUUUUGGCGCUGCUUUGAUGUGAAUGUGCGCCAGAAGUGUCACUUAGAUAAAUCACUGUUAGUCCAAGCUGGCAUGGCUCUGCACUGGUGACAGAAGGGAGAAUUCCACACGGAUCAAAUAAAUACAGAUGUGAAGUAAUUAGUUGUAUUCCCAAGAAGCCUAUUGUGGGCAUGUUAAAGAUGCCAGGGAUCAGCUGGCUUUCCCACAAGCAGCUUUUAUCAAUUUAAACAGGAACAGAAACUAGGUGGGUCAUAACCCAUGUGGCUUUUCAGGAGUCACGUGUUAAACAUUCAGGCCUGAAAAUUAGACAAGGUGAAAUGUCUGCAGUGCUUGAAAAUUUAAUUAGGAGCGGACUUUUGUGAUCAACAAUAAACUGUUUUAUUUUUUCUUUCUGAAACACCAACCAAUUUGUGUUAAAUUGAAUAAGCAUCUGCUAAGUUCAUGUACCUCUAGAUUGCUAAAACAGGUUCCUAGCCAUGACUCUUGGAUGGUUCAACAACAUCUUUUUUGUGUAUCUAGAUUUGUUUUUGCAGGUGAUGACUGCCACAUAAUUAAUUUUCUUUCUUUUUGAUCUUGCUCCAACCAGCGCAAGAGCAAAUUCUUAUUUACAAUGUCGUCCUGUAAAAGAAGCCUUAAUUAGUGGAAGAGACAGAAAAGAAGAAAAAAUGUUCAUUAUAAAGGGAGCAAGGCAAUUAAAAAUCUGAUAUAGAAAUAAAAGAAGUUGUACACAGACCACAACUUCAGCCUUAGAAUUCUAUUUUUUCUUCUUCAAUGACUAAUUCAGAGCGUUUCCCUUUUUUUUAUCUUUACAAGAAAUAAGCAGUAUGCUUACGGUCAUGUAUUAAUCGACCUUAGUACGAAGUGUUGCUUUGGUGCGUUGCAACUUUCUGAGAGGUACAUUUGCAACAGUAUAUGUAAAUUACACUUUGAUCAUCACUCCCAGCAAAAACAAUUUUUUUAAAAACUGCUGCCUUAAGUGCAUCAUCUUAUAACAAAAGGAGUAUACAUUUGCCACAUAAUACUGCCAUUACAAUUAAUGCCACCUCCUUGUGAAAUUGAAACCUCUUUUUUCCUUCUCUCGCAAUUAUAGGACCCUUCAGGAGGGGACGUAUUUAUGCCUAGCAGUUAGCAAUGCAUUGAUUUAAUACGUUUCUAAUCAGGACAUACAGCUUCAGGGCCCAAAAUGUUAAUUUUUCCUGCUGCUUACAAAGUAGCCUUUGAUUUUCUGUCACGGCAGUAAUUACAGUGUUUUGCCACUAGAUAGGGAGAGAGCUUUGUCUCGUCUAAUUAUGAGGUAAUCAUUGCUGGAGUGCCAACAUGUUGUUUUCACCUUUUUGUUAAUACUAUUCUUAUUUUAUUUUACAGCUUCUGGCUAUUACUUCUCCUUUUGAUUCACAACAUGACACUUGUAACACCGUGUGUGGUUGUUGGAGUGUGUGUGUGUGUGUCUGUGUGUGUCUGGGUGUAUAUUUGGAGAGUAGUAGCCUAGUGACUGUAAUUGUUGUGGUAUGGGUGCUGUUAAUUACUGGAGUAAACGGUUGAAUCACGGCCAGGGCCCUUAUGUGGCUGCAGAGUGGCGGGCAGCGGCAGAGAGAGACAGAGGGCUGGAAAAUUGUUUUUACCAUCUGGGGACCAGGGGGGGCGAGAAGGGGAAGCAGAGAGGGGAAAGGGGGAACAGCGGCAGACUGAAAGGCCCAAUUGGUGGCCAGAGCCUAAGGGUUCGGGGGUCCAUAUGGAAGGCAACACUCUGCCUUGCACUUUAUUGCACACCUUGCUGUUUUAAUCAAUGGCAAGCCUGUUCACAGAGCCUAGAGCAGCAGUGGUUGUUUCUCAUUGUCUCACUGCUACUUCCACUUUCCCUGCUCCACUACACCCCAACACCUCUUACCAAAUCUCUGAAGAGCUGUGCAGCACUUUCAGGGCCUCUCCAGAAACUGGAGAAGUAGAAGUGCCGCAGUGAAAACGUUUGCACUGUGUGUGAAACAGCUCCUGUUUUGUAAUGAUGAUUUGAUACGCUUUUGGCUCCUGCCUGCGCUGUUCUAAUUUCCCUGCAAAGCGGGGAUAAGAACAUAGAUGCCUGCUGUGUUUGGUGUCGUUUCUUAAAAUGGGGGACACCAUUCCAUCUGAAUUCCAUUUGAAUGUUGAAAGUAAUGCGAUUAAGCGACAAAAGGCGUGUUAACACUGAGAUGCAUUGAUGUGAGCUAGUAACACCAUAAAAGUGCCAGCCAGCGGUGGUCUGGCUCCCUCUAUAACCCACCCUGGUCGGAGGCAGUUGUGGUAAUCCCCCCUCAGCCUUAGCACCGUGUUGAGGAGGCCCUGCCUUUGUGUGUGGUUGAGUGUUUGAUUUCAUCGCAGAACUCUUGCAGGAACAUCAAUAUUUCAUUGAAUUAGACUCAUUUUGUUUAGAGCGAGUAAAGCUACCUGUUUGUAAUGGCUGACCCGCUGUUUUAAUUCCACGGCAUACAGGCAGCAUCUCAGACAGGCAGUAACAGAACAGCAAUAAGCCAGUGGGGUGCUAUACUACAUGCAACUGAUGGUGCAUAAUGAGCAGGAAUCCAUUCAAAUACUAUAUCAUGUUGUAUAGACUGUUGGUGCCGACAGCUCCACCAACACUGACUGUCCUAUUCUAAAGAUCCGUCAGAGUAGACAUCCUGUGACAGAGCAGUAAUACGCCAAGGUAAAUUAUUUAUUCUCAGAAAUUAAGAAGACUGAGGUCACAAGGAGAAAAAGAAAAACAGACUUUAGCUGAAUUAUGUUUUUUGGUUGUUUUUUUUUGUCAACAAGAUAAGAUAAAGAUGGUCUGAUGGUAAAUAAAGUCGACAUUUAAAGGCGCAGUGUGUGGUAUUUAUCAGAAGAGUCUCAGUGUAAAAGGACUUUAAAUUUUCUUGAAUUUGUUUGAGUUGAAAGUAAACUUUUUUGUUAACUUCUGAUUAUAGUAGGGCUGGGCGAUAUGGGAAAAAGUUUAUCACAAUAUAUUUUUUUACAUCAGUCGAUACUGAUAUAUAUCACGGAAUAAAAAAAAUCACUUCAAUCAAUCUUAAAUGUUCCCUGUUACUACUGCAUGAAAUUGAACAUGUACUUGACAUAAUUUGCAGUGUAAAUUACUCUACUUCAUGUCUGACCUCAAAAAACUUCAUACCUCCACACCACCGACAUUUUCGUGCCAGUGUUGUCAACAUCAGUUGAGCCUUUCUCUGAAUUUCUGUUACUCAUUUUCUUUUUUUCUCACCAACAGUGCUGUCGGCUUCACGUGUUAAAGUGCUAUGGUUGUGUAUAGCUGCGGUCUGCUACUACGCAGUUGUUUGCUACUUGGUUCUAAUUCAGCACAUGAUUGGUUCAGCGCGGCAUGACCCGGAGCAACAACCCUUUUCAUUGGCUAUUCGUAAAGUCUAGGAAAACAUGGCAGAAUGCUGGCUAUCGAAAAGCAUGUUGACCAUGUUUCAUAUCGAUAUUGAGGGGAAUACAAUUUUUGAUUUAUAUCAUUAUCGUUUUAUUGCCCAGCCCUAGAUUGUAGCCUGAUUCUACAGACGUAGUGUGUCAGGACCCCCAGAAAGUCUCAUAUCUAUGUAAUGAUGAGUCCCCAUCCACGGAGGCUGCUAUCUUGCCCUGCUAUGUUUAGCAGAGAAUGAAAAAAACAGUAAUAGCUAAACAUGUUCAUGUAUUUAGUAGGCGGACACCCAAAAGCACUAGUUAAAAAACAAAGAAGACAGUGAUGUUUGUUUCAAGAGAUUUUGCAUUGAUAUCAUUUUUCACUGCAGGUUCCUGUCCUGAAACGCUUGUAGAGCUUCAGCAAUGGGAGGCAUAAGCAAGGGAGUAUUUCAAUCUUGAAUCUGCUAAAGUGUCUUAUUUCUACAGACUGUACCUUUAAAUGAUGAAAGUGUUGUUCACUUCAGCCUGAUCCUCCUUGAUUAAAUGCUUAUCGGUGUUCUCUGCUCUCUGUGAUCAUCCAGGUCUCAACAUUGUACCAUAAAACAAAGAGUGAAUGGAGACAGAAUUUUGCAUUACAUUUGAAGAAGUGAGAUGACAACAUCAGUCAGAAGUCAUCAGUCUCACCCUCCCUUAAACUGAGGCUGUAGCUGUUGUCUGGCUUGUUGUACUACAGCCUUUGCCAUUACUUGGGUUUGUGAUUAAAUUUAGCAAAGUGCUGCCGAUAGCCGAAUUGUCCAGCCACUCUCAAUUACCGUCUGGGGAGGGUACCUGAGAAAGCUUAACACAGCAAUUAACAACUUAAUUAAGUGCCACAGCCAUUGUGGCACUUCUGGAGCCAUGCAACAAGGGCUGUAUUGAUUGCAGGGGAUUGCCAGUUGGUCUCCAAUUGAUCGCCCAAUUGAUUGGCUUGGAUAGGCAUUCCUCAAUGACUCAGAGAAGGAGUUUGUGAGUAUGUGUGUGUGUGUGUGUGUGUGUGUGUGUGUGUGUGUGUGUGUGUGUGUGUGUGUGUGUGUCUGCUUGUUUUUUUUUUUUGUCUCAGAGAAAGUAGACGUCACACAUUUGUGUGACACACUGAUAAUGACCUGCCAUGCCGGCUGCGUGGACACUCCCAGUAUCCCUGAAGUGUGACACACAUGUCUGAUGUCAAUCACUCGCUCCCUGCCUCUGCCUUAUACACACACACACACACACACACACACACACACACACACACACACACACACACACACACACACACUCACUCACACACACACAAGCUCUCAGGACGGGGCUUGAAUCCAAAGUAACAUCUGCAGUCUAUUCAUGCUAAAUGUUCUUGACAAUGAAGCUAUAAACACAGACCAACAGAUGCAACAGAAUACAGUGUGUGCAUGUGGUACUUAGGGGAAAACUGAUAUCUUAAAAUUAAAAACCCAACGCACUCCUACACAAUUUUAGUCUUUUUUUCCAGCUAUGAAUACUACUUUUUUUACUCCUCAGAUUUGAUCAGUCUAUAAUUACAGUAAAGUUACAAAACAGAAUGUAGGACUUUCCAGCAAAACAAGCACCAAACACACACACAAUUGUGCACAUGGAUGCAUUCCCCACAUUACACACACACACACACACACACACACACACACACACACACCAUCUCUCUCCCUGGGGAACAGUUAGCAUGCAGGACAGAGCUGGAUGUAGGAGGGGAGCGAGGUGGUGGUAAGACGUCAAAUAAACUGUCAUCUCUUAUUGUGUCAAUGAAGUAAUUCCCUUUUAAAGGCUUGACCUUUAACCCCGCAGGAGCUCGGCCAAUUGCACAGAGCAUCAGAGGAGCCGGGAGGUGAUAACAAAUGACUCAGCUGAGAGGGGAGGGAGCUACGCCGGACUCACCCUGAAGCAGCCACGCCACUUUGCCAGGUAAAGGACGUGUCCAAAUUAAUUACAAAUAUCCCGGACUCAACUGCUCAACCAAGGAUCAGUAUUUCUCUUUUAUUAUUUUUUAAUACAUAUUAUUCUUUUGCAUCUAACAGAAUCUUUUUUUUUUUAAAUUCUUUAAACUAAUAUGGUUUAAGCAGCUCAGCAGCUCUUUGUUAAUUUAACUGCAUAAUACCCCCAACAGUAGUAGUUUUGCUUUGCUACCAGUAGGGGGUAAUAUUAUAUGAAUGCUUUCAGUGAAAUGCACACAAGACCCUCCAGAAAUGAUCAAAAUGUAUUUUUGGCUUUAAAUUCUGUUGCAUCCUAUAAAAGCAAUGUUAAGUUUGGGGCAGUUUAAUCCCACAGGAUUGUGAGGGGUUAUUAUAAAAUUAGACUUGUGAGUGUAUUUUUACAUGUUUGUGUGUGUUAGUGUGAGUGUGCUUGUCAGAGUGUUUGACAGGCUCAACUCUCCCUGCACCUGCUGUGGUUCUGAGGUGGUCAACUUAUGACCUGUAAUUACAUUGUUACUUUGCUCUCAUGUCUCACUGGACCAGGUUGAUCUCGGACACUUCAAUUACCUCCUUUCAGCCCUUCUGUUGCUCUCACAUGAGCAACAAAAUCAUAAUGAUGGUCUGGGGACUGGACCGGCUCAAAUUUUACAACAUGGGUCACACCUUGCAUUGAAAAUAGCUGAUAGAGGGAGAAAUUUCACAACAAAUUAUUUAAGCCCAAUGUUCAAAAUGUUAUUUUUUAUAAAUGAUUUAAACACUUUAAAACAUAUGUGAAAAAUUACACCCAAACCCUCAUGCAUCCCCACAGACAAGCUUGUAAAUGUUCACACAAUUCAAUAUGCAGAUAUCUCGACGCUUAAACAAGAGAAGCUUGAGAAAGCCGCACUGCAAGGCCAACAACAAUGGCUGACACAUAUUCUUUGAAAUGGUCUGCAUCAAUUUGCAUUCAAACUUGUUACAAAAUAGAGGAGAGAAAAAGAUCCAUCUAUGGGGCGCAUUUGAAGGUUGGGUCCGGGUCGCAUAUAUUUGCCCUUGUGUAGCUCUGUCACAUUGUGGUGUAACGGAGCCUCAGCUGCAGGAUUGCAGUUUUUAAUGAAAAAGUGGGGGCUGUCACGUCCAGGUAAGACCCCUGGAGGUUGUUCUUCUAUGGCUUUGUUAUGUUCCACAAUGAGGCUGUGCGGACACACACACACACACGCACACAAACACACACACACAUACCCUCAUACACACAAACAGAUUAUAUCAGACGUUGAUAGCUACAGAAGUGACUGAAUAAACACACGUGUAUCCCCCUAAAAAAAUAAAAGUGAAAGAUCUGUGAUGAUUGAAAACCGCUAGGACAGCUGUCAAAAAUAUAGUAUAUGUCUCAAACAUCUGUCAAGUGUAUGAAGAGAUAUUUGAGGUUAUUGAAUCACUGUUUAAUACAACUUUUGAUAUAGAUUUUCUUAUUUAGGUUUCAAUAAAAACCAUGACGACAGACAGUUGAGAGAUCUCUGCAGGCAUUUUGUGCGUUUCAAGGCUAGACUUUCACAGUCAAACUAGUUUAUGUCCAGGAGCCCCAAAAUGUUUCUGCUAGAGUAUUUUUUACUUCAAUUACAACUUGUUUUAUAUCAGCAGCCAAAGCUGACCUUUCUCAGUGUUAAGUGUUGAUAUCUGAGUCAAUGUACAUUGAAUCUAAAAUCCAGUCUUUGGUUUUAUUGGAAAAAUUUAAAAUUGACGUUUAAAUUUGAGUUUUGUUUUGAGAUUUCAUUUGAAAAAAAAAAAAAAGAAAUGAAAAUUUUAAUUAGAAGGUUGUACACAAGAGAUGUGAAUUUUUAAAUAUUUUUAAAUAAACAUAUUUUAAAUAUAGAAAUCAACAGGGAAUGCAUAAGCACUAAAAAAAACAACUCAACAAUUAACAGGAUGAAAAUUAAAAAAAUAUAUUACACAAAUACAUCUGUAAGUAGUAUUUAAAAUUGUAGUACCUUUCUUGUUGUAAACUUUGCACCUCCUCGGUUUAAAUUUAAUUAAUCUACAUUGGUCCUAAAGACUGAUUAGACUGUUUUCAUAAAAAGGGGAGAUGAGGAAGAGCUAAAGAUAGGGGUUUACAGGGGAUGUUCGUAAUCAGCAGUAUUUCACAGGCCAGUUUGAAAUUUAUUCACACACUGUCAGCAGGCUUCUUGGUGAGCGGAGAUUUUCAAGAGAUGCUGAUUCAGUUCACACUGACAUAUUUUGAAUCACACACUUUACUCUUCAUUAAUACUAAGACUAACUACCAGAUAGUUUUUAAGAUGAUGAUUGUGUUUGCUCUAUUUUUUGACUGAAAAAUAACAUUAAAGUUUAAGGGUGUGCAGUAGUCAGUUUCAUGACCACUUUUCACCUUAUUGUUCCUUUUGAAUACAAUAUCUACACUUAUUUUCAGCCUGCACGAUUAAAAAAAUCAUACCGGAUCGAAAACGGCACCUGUUGCCCGACGCAUUGAUCUCUGAAUGUAAUUCAAUGUGAAGACAGUCUUUUAUAACACAUUAACAUUACAUGAGGAUCUGCUUUUUUAUGCUGAUGAAGCUUAAAUACUCUCUGCUCUGUCCUGCAGAUCCUGCAGAGAAAACUGAAAGCAUAAAAUCGCUGUCCGGCUGUUAUUGGUUAUCGUGAGCAGAAGGUCAGACAGCAGACAGACGGAUAAAGAUUCAAGUGUGUUGGCAGUUUGUGGGAAUCUCAUCCGACAGAGAAGACAAACACACACCAACCCCACAACAACUUUCCACUGACUCACCUCAGUAUCAGGUGUGUCGUCUGCCUUUAAUUACCAACCAUACAGAGGUGCGAAAGACGUAUAUGAUUAACUACAAAGUUCAAAUAUUUUGUUUUCCAUGCACACAAUUAACAAGCUUAUAUGAAAAACGUUUUUGGGACAGACAGAGAGAUGAUUGGCUCAGCAGGGACAUACUUUACUGAGGAUCACAGUAAUUACAGAAAACUGUUUUUCAGGAAUAUAUGUUUUCUCUUACUAUAUGGUGAGAAUAAACACCCAGGUAAAUAAGUGUUAAAUGUCAUUAAAAAAUUACAAACAUCUCCUUUUUGCAUAAAAGAAUGAAUAAUGACGAAUGAUAAUAUAGAACAUGUGGUCUGUAGUUUUUACUUCCAUAAUUGAUCAUUUCUUUCAAAUAGAGCUUUUAGUCAAACAUUUCAGGAUUGAAAAACACAUUAAAUACUAAUUAAAAGAAAGUAAGUAAUAAAAUAAAUUGUUAAAUGUUUUUAUUUCUUUAAUUACAUCAGCUCUUCUUCAUCAUGACUUUCACUGUUCCCUUCAUUGUGCCGGGCUAUAUAUGACAUGUGAGCAGUGACCAUAAUGAGUUCUUUCACACACCAAAGGUCAGAGGCAUCGCUUACAGAACGAGAAGGACCCCCAAACACUCCCGAAGUCACUCAGCUCAUUCCUUAUCAAUUAUUGACACGCUGUUGUCAGUUGAAAAGCCGGCCAGACUUUCCGUUGAUCUGUUUGAUGAAUAUUUCAGCUGACAAACAGGCCACCUGACACUCUGCUCCAAACCAGUGUGUAGUGAGAGAGAGGUCGCUUAUCUUGACCACCAUUAUGUACAUAUACAUGCUCAUAUACGGUUACAGUGUUGUUACUGUUACUGUACUCUUCUAAACGUUUUUAUUACUCUUGUUUAUAUUGGUUUCAUCCUUGACUCUUGUGUCAGCCAACAAGAAGGUUGACUUACGAGCUCUUAUCACUCACUAUGUGGUCAAUGAUGCAUUAUCUGUGCAAAAAAAAUGGUUUAUUUAAAUACUGAGCAAUGAGUCUAUCUGCUCAGAGCAAAACAUUCAUCGCAUGAAGCAAAAAGUCAAUACUUAAUAAAUAUUUUCUCAGACUUUAUCAGCCACUGCAGCUGCCUGCACAGCAGAUAAUCAAACACUCCUGCAAAUAAUAGCAGAGUGAAUGUCACAGCCUCUGCAAGUAUCGGAUUUUAAAGUUAGUUUUGCUCAGCGCAGCUGUUUUCUCGUACCAUGUAAAAAGCAAACAUCCAUGAGAAUGAAUAUGAUACUUAGAAGGUUUGACUUUUUACCCAAGGUUUAUACAUUAUCUACAAAGUGCUGAGAUCACAAAUGGUGAGUUCGCCUUGAAAAUAAACCCCCAAACUAUUUAUCAGAGGGAUCAUCAGUACAUUUUUCACAUAUUCCUGGCCUAAAACAUUCUGUGCUUCUGAUUUGUGUUCUCAUGGCUGAAACAUCAGCAGUCUACAUAUCAGAUUUUUUGUUUUCAGUGAAUCGCACAGAGAAAAAAACAGCCACAUUUUGCAUUCAAUAAAGCCACUUGACCACAGCAUGAAAGAGGAGCCCAUAGAGCCUUUUGUGAACUGGUGAUGUGUUAUUUAUGUCAAGCUCGUUCAAAAGCAGCUGCUAUAGAAAAGACACACCUCAUAAAUUUUUCUAUGGCCCCCUAUGAACAGGUCAGGAAGGCACCAAUAUUUCCUCUUUAUUAGAAACAACAGGAACAACAUGCAGCCAUAAAGGGGGCCUCAGAGGUGAAUCUGAAACACGGAGAACAGCAGCAAACGCAUGCUGUCCUCAGAGCUGAGAGGUACUCACACAAUCCAUUUUCUGACCUACCUGCUCGUCCAUACAGUUGUACAUUUUCCUCUUAACUCACUCAGCAGUGACUCUCAAACUCUCUGCGCUUCAUCACAGGUCAACUUGGAGAUGAACUUUAAAGGAAGAUGUAACAAAUGAUCACAGCUUCUCCAGCAAUUCAUAUCCACUGAAGUGCCAUAACCCUCUACAUAUCCUGACCUCAAUUUGGAGUCUGCGUGUUGAAGGCCCAUCUGAGGGAGAUGGUAUCGAUCUGAGCUGGGACUCUGGCAGCAUCAAUAAACAACAGGCUUCAGGCUUCAAGGCUGAGGAGACACAUCUCUAUUUCAGCCGGAGGGUUUCGCAUCUGGAUACCCGAGUUGGUCCGUGGCCCUGGACAGAUGGUGGGACAUGUUUUCUUGCUGAAGCAGGUUCAGGUCCUUAUUGAGAGCAAAGUCAGUGAUAUCAUCCCUACUAUUGGUUCUAUUGAGUUAAAUAAGACCUUUAACCACAAGCUCGCAAAUUUUUACUUUGAAUAAUUACCAUUAAUGUUAAAGGGCAUUGUAAAUGGAAAGCUACCAAGUAACAGUCGAUAACUGCAAGAACAAUCAAUGUUUAACCACAAGACAAAUAGUAUUUCAAGAUCCUCUAUAUCAGCAUUACAGUGAAGGAGGACAGUGUUUGGCUCAUUAAUCAAUAAACACAACAAGCCAACCAAUACAUUUGACAUAGACUAAUGAAAUAAUAAUCAUCAGGAGAUGAGGAGGAGUGGGAGGAGAGAAAAGCAAACAGGCUGCUUCUGAACACUUAAUUACACACACACAAAAAAAAACCAAGCCAUAAACAGUAAAAAUUCAACCAUGUUAAACAAUAAUGGGCGAUCUUGCCGGACAGUUUUGUUUCUUUCUUGUUUACUUGCUUUUCCCUCUUUGCUGAGAGAAAGUUAAAUAAGUGUGCCUCAUAUAUUUAGAGUCAAACUGAGCUCACUUUGUGCUAAGCAGCUUGUCAAUAGAGAGAGAGAAGGUACAAGGCAAGAGAGGCGGUCUGAUAAAAUGGCUUUUAAUUACCAGACAGUGAAUGCUGGCCUUCCUUUUCCACUUUCUCCUCCCAGCCAAGUCAGGAGUUUGAUUUCUGAUAAUGAGGAUUGCUGACUGAGCUUCAUCCUAGUUGCCCCUAAAGCAGAAGGACCUAACGUCAAGUCCUCAGAGAGUGUGUUUGACAAAGUGCCAUAUAGAUCCUCUGUGUUUCAUCAGAUGGCAGUGCUGGUGGAGGCAUUAAUCAGAGCGCUUGAUAGCUCGGCUUUGUUUUCCCCUUUAGUCUCUUGUUACAAUUAGGCAGAGUAAUAAUUUCAGGCAUUACAUGGAAAUCAAUGGGUCUUUACCCCAGCUGUUGGUACAGGUGUAAGAGAUUAGAUGCAGAUAGAUACAGGUCGAUGCAAUGAACUUCUAACCUCUGUGUGUACAGUCCAUGUAUAUGUUUAAGACAGGGGAGUAUAGAUAGAUGGAUAGAUAGAUGCAUGGAUAGCAUCACUCAAAAGUUCUAUAGUAAUCAACAUAUUUAGUCCAAUACUGUAUGUUUUUAAGGUGUUUGUACUUUUCUCCUCAAUUAAAUAUGAUUUAAAAUAUGUGAUGUUUUGUUAUCAACAGAUUAUAACGUAGUUUGCGCUGAUACAUGGCGACAGGCUGCAACAAAAAUAAUCUUUCCCUUUGAAGGCUGCCUUAACCUUUUGAACAAGAUAACAAAAACUGAUAAAGAAGUUCAGCCCCGGGCCAACCAGAGGAGGAGACUUUUGUUUUGCAGCCAGUGAAACCCAACCUAUUGCAGGGGUUGGCCCAGUGCACAUCUUAUUGAUAUUGUUUUCCAGCAGCACAUGGGCAGACGAAGCAAGCUGUAACAAGUCCUUAUCAUUACACAGAACCCCAGUCAACAGACUCGGGUAUCAGCUCUGAGAGCGGAGUGCUGUAAAUGAAAAGAGCGAGAGACUUCAUUUUGCCCAGAGAUCAAUGUCUUGUUCUUCGGAGCUGCAAUCAGAGAGGCUGGUGCAGCUCCUCAAUCAUAAGGCCGUAAUCAACAACAGUUUUUAAGUGCCUCUUUGUUUUACAUUUAAUUAUUUACUAAUGAAGGAGUUGAAACCACUUUGAAAACUUAAAGCUCGUCUGAGGAGUUCAAACAAGAUGAUCAGCAACAUGACUGUCAAUUUCUAUAUUUUGCCAGGGGAUAGAUAUAAAACUGAAGACUGACAGCAUGUUAAGACAGCCUUUAUUUAAAUUUUCAACAGCAAACAUUUAUACUAACUGACACAUUUGACGAUUAAAAGAAAGCAAGAUGAGAUUUUUUCAGUCAGUGCAACCCUGACAUGUACAAAACAAGAUCAGCAGAGAUAAAAUGUAAAUGUUUGUCCACAGGGAGCGCCAAAAUUGACACAAACAGAACCUCACCAGAGCUUAAAGUAAGGUCUUUUCUGGAGUGUGCCUCUCUGUGCACCUUCUCCUUAAAACAAAAACAAAGGAAAAAAUUAAGGGGAGAUUUUUUUAGUAAAAAAUGAAUUAAUGUUUAGAUAUCUUUAUUGCACUUUUAGUAACUCCACAUAUGACAUUUAAUUUCUACAAGAUACAGUUAAUCAAAAUCUCCUGCUAUAGUGUUUUAGUAUCUCAAAGAGGCUAUACAAAUUAAUAAUUAUUUAAAAAAAGGGUAUUAUUAUGAUUAUCUUAAACAGAGAGGAAUUAAAGACAAAUCUAACAAAGUUCUGUGAAACACGUCUCCUGGCGAUUUAUCACCACUUAAAAAUACUGUACGACACACUUAAAAGAAAGUAAAAAGUUGUCCAUAUAACUUAUCUUAUUUUUGGUAGUAGAGGGGUUGAACUUUGGGGUCAUAAAAAUAAGUUUUU